ACGAAUGCUCCGGGCCCGAACAGGGUUCGGAGGUGACGGUACCGAGAGAGGAAGCCCCGGCUAACUCCGUGCCAGCAGCCGCGGUAAUACGGGGGGGGCAAGCGUUGUUCGGAAUUACUGGGCGUAAAGGGCUCGUAGGUGGCCCCGUACGUCCGACGUGAAAGCCCUCGGCUUAACCGGGGAAGGGCGUCGGAGACUGCGGGGCUGGAGUUCGGGAGAGGGAUGCGGAAUUCCAGGUGUAGCGGUGAAAUGCGUAGAUAUCUGGAGGAACACCGGUGGCGAAGGCGGCAUCCUGGACCGAGACUGACGCUGAGGAGCGAAAGCCAGGGGAGCAAACGGGAUUAGAUACCCCGGUAGUCCUGGCCCUAAACGAUGAAUGCUUGGUGUGGGGGGAGUCGAAUCCCUCUGUGCCGCAGCCAACGCGUUAAGUGUUCCGCCUGGGGAGUACGGCCGCAAGGCUAAAACUCAAAAGAAUUGACGGGGGCCCGCACAAGCAGCGGAGCAUGUUCUUUAAUUCGAUGCAACGCGAAGAACCUUACCUGGGCUUGACAUGGUGCUGCAAGCGCACGGAAACGUGUGACCUUCGAGGGUGCACCACAGAUGCUGCAUGGCUGUCGUCA
rnacentral:rRNA from 1 species